rnacentral:rRNA from 1 species
UUUGUGAACUUAUACCUUACUGUUGCCUCGGCGCAGGCCGGCCUCACUGAGGCCCCUCGGAAACGAGGAGCAGCCCGCCGGCGGCCAACCAAACUCUUGUUUCUUAGUGAAUCUCUGAGUAAAAAACAUAAAUGAAUCAAAACUUUCAACAACGGAUCUCUUGGUUCUGGCAUCGAUGAAGAACGCAGCGAAAUGCGAUAAGUAAUGUGAAUUGCAGAAUUCAGUGAAUCAUCGAAUCUUUGAACGCACAUUGCGCCCUCUGGUAUUCCGGAGGGCAUGCCUGUUCGAGCGUCAUUUCAACCCUCAAGCAUUGCUUGGUGUUGGGGCACCGCCUGUAAAAGGGCGGGCCCUGAAAUCUAGUGGCGAGCUCGCCAGGACCCCGAGCGUAGUAAUUAUAUUUCGUUCUGGAAGGCCCUGGCGGUGCCCUGCCGUUAAACCCCCAACUUCUGAAAAUUUGACCUCGGAUCAGGUAGGAAUACCCGCUGAACUUAAGCA